AGAAUCAACGCUGGCGGCGUGCCUAACACAUGCAAGUCGAUCGAGAAAGUGGAGCAAUCCAUGAGUAAAGAGGCGCACGGGUGAGUAACACGUGACUAACCUACCUUCGAGUGGGGAAUAACCUGGGGAAACCCGGGCUAAUACCGCAUAAUACCUACGGGUCAAAGGAGCAAUUCGCUUGAAGAGGGGGUCGCGGCAGAUUAGUUAGUUGGCGGGGUAAUGGCCCACAAGACGAUGAUCUGUA
rnacentral:rRNA from 1 species